rnacentral:rRNA from 1 species
AUUAGAUACCCGGGUAGUCCACGCCUUAAACGAUGAAUACUAGACGUUGGGGUCAAACUCAGUGUCGCAGCUAACGCAUUAAGUAUUCCACCUGGGG